rnacentral:rRNA from 1 species
UACGUAGGGACCAAGCGUUGUUCGGAUUUACUGGGCGUAAAGGGUGCGUAGGCGGGUUAUUAAGUCAGUGGUGAAAGCUCCAUGCCUAACAUGGAAAUUGCCAUUGAUACUGAUGAUCUUGAGUACAUUUGAAGUGGGCGGAAUGUGUCAUGUAGUGGUGAAAUACUUAGAUAUGACACAGAACACCGAUUGCGUAGGCAGCUCACUAAACUGUAACUGACGCUGAGGCACGAAAGCGUGGGGAGCAAACAGG